rnacentral:rRNA from 1 species
AGCAGCCAAACUCCGAAUACCGUGGAUGUGUAUUCCGGCAGUGAGUCGGCGGGGGAUAAGCUCCGUCGUCGAGAGGGAGACAGCCCAGAUCGUCGUCUAAGGUCCCGAAGCGUGUGCUAAGUGGGAAAGGAUGUGGAGUCGCAUAGACAGCCAGGAGGUUGGCUCAGAAGCAGCCAUCCUUGAAAGAGUGCGUAACAGCUCACUGGUCUAGUGGUUCCGCGCCGACAAUGUAGCGGGGCUCAAGCACACCACCGAAGACGCGGCAACGGCCUUUGUGGCCGUUGGGUAGGAGAGCGUCCCCCGAGGGGCGAAGCGGCGGCGCAAGCCGGCCGUGGACUUCGGGGGAGUGAGAAUGCAGACAUGAGUAGCGAGAGACGGGUGAGGAUCCCGUCCGCUGGAUGACCAAGGGUUCCGGGGCCACGUUCGUCGUCCCCGGGUGAGUCGGGUCCUAAGGCGAGGCCGACAGGCGUAGUCGAAUGGAUGAACGGGUGGAUAUUCCCGUACCGGCAGCGAACCGCAAGAGCCGAACGGAUGAGUACUAACCUCCGGUCGCGUGGCGUCGUUCCCUUCGGGGUUCGGGGCGCGCGGCCGUUGGGAAUGUAGUCCUGGUAGGUUAGCGCACAGGGGUGACACGGAAUGGGAGCCGGCCGCGGAGGUGGUUUUCCGUGGUCAAGCACGCAGCCCGUCCCAUAGGCAAAUCCGUGGGACAUGUAGGGUGAGGUGCGAUGAUGGGCGCCUUUUUGGCGCGAUAUCCGGUGGUCCAGGCCGUCGAGAAAAGCCUCGGCGCGAGGGGCGUUGCCGCCCGUACCCCAAACCGACACUGGUGGUCAGGUAGAGAAUACCAAGGCGAUCGAGCGAAUCCUGGUCAAGGAACUCGGCAAAUCACUCCCGUGCCUUCGGUAUAAGGGAGACCCCUGAUGGUGAUGGAACUCGCUUCCGGAGCUUUCGGGGGUGGCACAGACCAGGGGGUAGCGACUGUUUACCAAAAACACAGGUGCAUGCGAAGGCGCAAGCCGCUGUAUAUGCACUGACGCCUGCCCGGUGCCGGAAGGUUAAGAGGAUCCGUCAGCCCUCGGGCGAAGCGGUGAAUUCAAGCCCCGGUAAACGGCGGUGGUAACUAUAACCAUCCUAAGGUAGCGAAAUUCCUUGUCGGGUAAGUUCCGACCUGCACGAAUGGCGUAACGACUUCCCCACUGUCUCGACCAGGAGCUCGGCGAAAUUGCAGUACGAGUAAAGAUGCUCGUUAAGCGCAGAAGGACGAAAAGACCCCGGGACCUUUACUAUACCUUGGUAUUGGCGUUAGGCGCGGAUUGUGUAGCAUAGGCGGGAGGCUUCGAAGCGCGGGCGCCAGCCCGUGUGGAGCCGCAAGGUGAAAUACCGCUCUGUUCUCGUUUGACGUCUCACCUCGAACAGUGAUCCUGUUCAGGGACAGUGCCUGGCGGGUAGUUUAACUGGGGCGGUUGCCUCCCAAAGAGUAACGGAGGCGCUCAAAGGUCCGCUCAGCCCGGUUGGCAAUCGGGUUUCGAGUGUAAUCGCACAAGCGGGCUUGACUGCGAGGACGACGGUUCGGGCAGGGACGAAAGUCGGAGAUAGUGAUCCGGUGCCGGCGCACGGGCGCGGCAUCGCUCAACGGAUAAAAGGUACCCCGGGGAUAACAGGCUGAUCAUUCCCAAGAGUCCAUAUCGACGGGAUGGUUUGGCACCUCGAUGUCGGCUCGUCGCAUCCUGGGGCUGGAGCAGGUCCCAAGGGUUCGGCUGUUCGCCGAUUAAAGCGGCACGCGAGCUGGGUUCAGAACGUCGUGAGACAGUUUGGUCUCUAUCCUCUGCGCUCGUUGGAAUCCUGAGGAGGCCUGCCCAUAGUACGAGAGGACCUGGGUGGACGGACCUCUGGUAUGCCGGUUGUCGCGCCAGCGGCAUGGCCGGUUGGCUACGUUCGGGAGGGAUAACCGCUGAAAGCAUCUAAGCGGGAAGCCUGCUCCAAGAUUAGGAUUCCUUGACGCU